rnacentral:rRNA from 1 species
AGGGUGUAAACGCUGCAGACUUGGUGUUGGGGGCCCUUUGGGGGCAUUCAGUGCCGGAGAGAAGUUGUUAAGUCUGCUACUUGGGGAGUACGUCCGCAAGGAUGAAACUUAAAGGAAUUGGCGGGGGAGGCACCGCAACGGGAGGAGCGUGCGGUUUAAUUGGAUUCAACACCGUAAAACUCACCAGGGAAGACUGUUACAUGAAGGCCGAGAUGAAGACUCUGCUAGAUUUUUCAGAGAGGAGGUGCAUGGCGGUCAGUGACU